UGAGGAAUAUUGCGCAAUGGGGGAAACCCUGACGCAGCGACGCCGCGUGGGUGAUGAAGGCCCUUGGGUCGUAAAGCCCUGUCAAGUGGGAAGAAGUGGUUGGGGGUUAAUACCCUCCAGCCUUGACGGUACCGCUAAAGGAAGCACCGGCUAACUCCGUGCCAGCAGCCGCGGUAAUACGGAGGGUGCGAGCGUUGUUCGGAAUUACUGGGCGUAAAGAGCGCGUAGGCGGCCAGGUAAGUCGGAUGUGAAAGCCCACGGCUCAACCGUGGAAGUGCAUCUGAAACUGCUUGGCUUGAGUAUGGGAGGGGAAAGUGGAAUUCCUGGUGUAGAGGUGAAAUUCGUAGAUAUCAGGAGGAACACCGGUGGCGAAGGCGACUUUCUGGACCAAUACUGACGCUGAGGCGCGAAAGCGUGGGGAGCAAACAGG
rnacentral:rRNA from 1 species